rnacentral:rRNA from 1 species
GACGAACGCUGGCGGCGUGCCUAAUACAUGCAAGUCGAGCGGACAGAAGGGAGCUUGCUCCCGGAAGUUAGCGGCGGACGGGUGAGUAACACGUGGGCAACCUACCCUGUAGAUCGGGAUAACAUCGAGAAAUCGGUGCUAAUACCGGAUAAUCAUUUGAAGUGCAUGCUUCGAAUGUAAAAGAUGGCUCCGGCUAUCACUACGGGAUGGGCCCGCGGCGCAUUAGCUAGUUGGUAAGGUAAUGGCUUACCAAGGCAACGAUGCGUAGCCGACCUGAGAGGGUGAUCGGCCACACUGGGACUGAGACACGGCCCAGACUCCUACGGGAGGCAGCAGUAGGGAAUCUUCCGCAAUGGACGAAAGUCUGACGGAGCAACGCCGCGUGAGUGAUGAAGGUUUUCGGAUCGUAAAGCUCUGUUGUUAGGGAAGAACAAGUGCCGUUUGAAUAAGGCGGCACCUUGACGGUACCUAACCAGAAAGCCACGGCUAACUACGUGCCAGCAGCCGCGGUAAGAC